rnacentral:rRNA from 1 species
CCUACGGGUGGCAGCAGUGAGGAAUAUUGGUCAAUGGACGAGAGUCUGAACCAGCCAAGUAGCGUGAAGGAUGACUGCCCUAUGGGUUGUAAACUUCUUUUAUAAAGGAAUAAAACGAGGCACGUGUGCCUUUUUGCAUGUACUUUAUGAAUAAGGAUCGGCUAACUCCGUGCCAGCAGCCGCGGUAAUACGGAGGAUCCGAGCGUUAUCCGGAUUUAUUGGGUUUAAAGGGAGCGUAGAUGGGUUGUUAAGUCAGUUGUGAAAGUUUGCGGCUCAACCGUAAAAGUGCAAUUGAUACUGGCAGUCGUGAGUACAGUUGAGGUAGGCGGAAUUCGUGGUGUAGCGGUGAAAUGCUUAGAUAUCACGAAGAACCCCGAUUGCGAAGGCAGCUUACUAAACUGUGACUGACAUUGAUGCUCGAAAGUGUGGGUAUCAAACAGGAUUAGAUACCCUUGUAGUC